GACGUAGGGGGCCAGCGUUGUUCGGAAUUACUGGGUGUAAAGGGUUCGUAGGCGGUGCGGCAAGUCGGGAGUGAAAUCUCUGGGCUUAACCCAGAGGCUGCUUCCGAAACUGCUGUGCUUGGGUGUGGGAGAGGCGCGUGGAAUUGCAGGUGUAGCGGUGAAAUGCGUAGAUAUCUGCAGGAACACCCGUGGCGAAGGCGCCGCUCUGGGCCGUGACUGACGCUGAGGAGCGAAAGCGUGGGGAGCGAACAGG
rnacentral:rRNA from 1 species